rnacentral:lncRNA from 1 species
UUCAACUUGAAAGCGGCGCUCGAGAUUCCCAUGAAGUGUGCGCUGCGCACCGUCAGCGCUCCCCCGGGAUACUCCUGCGGAGGUAUUGACAUUUCUCUGUCUGCAGACAUGUCUCGUAACUUUGCUCGAUCUUGGCAGGCAUGGUGGUUCCUCGAUCGCCUCCGCCAACUUCUACUUAAAAACCAUCGCUUCCAAGAUAAUCAAGCAAGCGUCCUUCGUCUCUCUCGCACUGGAUCAUCUUAGUUAAGUGUGCAGCUAUGCCAGUGAAUAAAGCUUGGGCUUCGCUCGCUCUAGAGCUCAAGCGUGCUAGCAACAAAUGCACUGUGCUCUCUAGCUUCCAUCCAGAGCUCCAGGUAGUGCAGGCCAGCGCCAGCGCCAGCGCUCUCUUGUCAGCUUCUUCCACAGGAUUCUUGAUGUUCUCUCCUCGAGAUCUCGUCA